UCCAUAACUUUUAGACCGUGAGGC
rnacentral:siRNA from 1 species